CUGAGACACGGCCCAGACUCCUACGGGAGGCAGCAGUGGGGAAUAUUGCACAAUGGGCGAAAGCCUGAUGCAGCAACGCCGCGUGAGGGAUGACGGCCUUCGGGUUGUAAACCUCUUUUAGUAGGGAAGAAGCGAAAGUGACGGUACCUGCAGAAAAAGCACCGGCUAACUACGUGCCAGCAGCCGCGGUAAUACGUAGGGUGCAAGCGUUGUCCGGAAUUAUUGGGCGUAAAGAGCUCGUAGGCGGUUUGUCGCGUCUGCUGUGAAAUCUGGGGGCUCAACCCCCAGCCUGCAGUGGGUACGGGCAGACUAGAGUGCGGUAGGGGAGAUUGGAAUUCCUGGUGUAGCGGUGGAAUGCGCAGAUAUCAGGAGGAACACCGAUGGCGAAGGCAGAUCUCUGGGCCGUAACUGACGCUGAGGAGCGAAAGCGUGGGGAGCGAACAGGAUUAGAUACCCUGGUAGUCCAUGCCGU
rnacentral:rRNA from 15 species